rnacentral:ncRNA from 2 species
CGCAUCCGCUAGGGGUGUUGUGGCCGGGUCUUUUGCCCGGGCGCGACUGAGAAAGUCCCUUUGAACCUGAUUGAGGUAAUCCUCGCGCAGGGAAGCAGGCCGAUACCGUC